UUCAAUUUAUUGUUAUUUAUGUAUUCAUUUAUUUUAUUAUUGCAAUAACUAGAAAUUUACGAGUAACCUUUAGAAAAUGUAUUAAUUAUUUAAAGAUGACAAUAAUUUUAUUACGUAGAACGGAUCGCAAUGUUUUGACAACAGCAACAGAGCACUUGUAUCAACUAUCAACAAUUGAAAAUUUUAAACCCCUUUUUUCUUUUCUGUUUCUGUUUGUAUGAGCUUAUAAGUGUUGUAUAUGUUCGGAACUAAUAAAACCAAAAUCCUUCCAUCCUGUAAAGUGAGAAUGAAUUCAAAAGAAGGAACCGUAUUUUGAAACACACGGUAUUAAAUGUGAUCCUGACGCUGAUCAUUACAAACUUGCAACCUAAAUACCUUAUAAAAACAGAGGUUCACCAAACCUACCGCAAUUGCAAAUACUUAUUUGCAUUAAGGCAUAAAAAUGCAUCUGGAUGUUUUCAGAUGGUGUGUGGUGAUCUGAACAGCAUAAGCCAAUCUACAGUCUGUUUAAUUAUAAAUAAAGUCUCUGCAGAUUUGAGUAAAUUACUUUCUAGAUUUGUAAAUUUUCCAAGAAAUAUGAACAUAGCCAAAACGAAGUUUGAAGAAUUAGGAAGAUCUAAUACUCACCAUGGCCUAAACAGUAUAAUCUGAGCUAUUGACUGCACCCAUAUAAAAAUUAAUAGACCCAAAGGUAUCGCUCACUCUGAAGCAUACAGAAAUAAAAAAGGGUAUUUUUCUGUAAAUGUACAAGCAAUAAUAGGGCCUGAUAUGGAAAUAUUUGCUAUAGUGACUAGGUGGCCUGGCAGUUCACACGACAGCAGGAUAUUUAGAAAAUGCCUGUUUUAGUAGGUGACAGCGGUUAUCCAGCACUUAACUUCAUGUUAACAACACUUUUAAAUCCAAUGACAAGAGCUGACAAUAUUUAUAAUUAUUAUCAAAUAAGAACUAGGCCUAUUUUUUAAAGGUUUUUCGGAGUGUGAAAAAGGAAAUUUCCAUGUUUACAGCUAGGACUACAGUCAAAAUUGACAAAUACUAGUUAUAUAUAAUUAUAGCUUGUGCUGUAUUGCAUAAUAUAGGUAUACAGAGAGGGGAUGCUUAUGAUGAUGGUGAUCUUGCUGACAGCAGAAGUUGAGUAACACAGAAACAAUGAAAGAUCUCCUACAGGUCUAGCAUUCCGGCAAUCUGUGAUUGCACAAUUUAACUAGGUAAUUUGUUUGGUAAUAAAGAAUAUCAAAACAAAA